GCCUCCGUAGCUCAACGGAUAGAGCAGGCCCGUCCUAAGGGCAAGAUGGGAGUUCAAUUCUUCCCGGGGGCA
rnacentral:tRNA from 1 species